GUGAAGCUGACGCACCACUUGGCUGGGGGGAGGCGGUCGGCGGUGUUGUUGGUUGAACCCGGAAAAGGAUUGGUUGGAGGCAGGAUCUUGGCGCGAAACUUCGAUCUGAAAACGUCUAAACAGGAUCCUCCAAAGACUUUCUGCUGCUGCUGCUGUAUUUUAUCCAAGAAAAGAAAUAUAUUUAUCUGCAGAUGAUGGUCAACAGGACUUGACUUUUGAGUGGGUUGUCAUUCCUCACUGUGAAUCACAGACGUUGGACAAUCAGGACAGAAUUUCUUUACAUCAGUCUUUUCCCUCUUGUGCUGCUUGUUUUACAUGUUUAAUAUAAUGAACUGAUUUUAAUUUUGCCAUAAAAAUAAAGAUGUAGUCUGCUAUGUCCAGCGGCCAUUAAAAAUACUAAAUACGAAGACGUUUGAUAAUCUGGUGUCAAAGCUGUCAGAGCCGUUCCUGUUUGUGUUUCUGUUAUUUGCAUCCGCCUGUUUUUCAUGUAGUAAUUUUCACUUCAGCGUAUUUAAAUUCCUGUUUUCUGUCUGUUUCCUGCCGGGUCGUCUGUUUUCAUCACUGUUGUCUCCCAGAUUCCUGUUUCCUCCAUGUCAAUAAGUGCUCUUAAUAAAAUGUAUCCAUCCACCGUG